rnacentral:rRNA from 1 species
UACGUAGGGGGCAAGCGUUGUCCGGAUUUAUUGGGCGUAAAGAGCGUGUAGGCGGCCAGACAGGUCCGUUGUGAAAACUCGAGGCUCAACCUCGAGACGCCGAUGGAAACCGUCUGGCUAGAGUCCGGAAGAGGAGAGUGGAAUUCCCGGUGUAGCGGUGAAAUGCGCAGAUAUCGGGAAGAACACCCGUGGCUAAGGCGGCUCUCUAGUACGGUACUGACGCUGAGGAGCGAGAGCGUGGGGAGCAAACAGG